rnacentral:lncRNA from 1 species
AAUUGAAUAAAAAAAAUAUGAAUAAAUAAAAUAUCAUAUACCAAUUAAAAAGUAAUUAUAUCAAAAGAAAGAAGAAAUUUAAACUAUAUGUAAUAUAUUUGUAUAUUAAUUUUUCAAUAGUACUAACAAUACUAAAUAAUAAUCUCUUGAAAUCUAACAAAUAUUAUAAUCAAAAUACAUUAUAUCUCAAAAACUGACUAUUAGAAAGAACAAUUACAUACUGCCAACACAUUAAUCAUUAUUAAAAAUGUAUUUUUUUAAUCAUACCUUCUUAGUGAAC